rnacentral:misc_RNA from 1 species
AAGCUUCAUCCUGAAGUUACUGCUUGGUUGAGGUUGAAUGUUUAUGCUAAGGAAUAGCAUCUUUUGGGAGCACACUCUUUGAAUGGAUGAUUCAUUGAUUUGUAUGAGCAACUUGCAUCAUUCUAAGGUAUAUGAGCUAAUCAAAAUUGUUUCAAGAGGUGUAAUGGUAUCCCGAGGUUCCGUUUGAGGGGCUGGGAGUUGCCAGAGUACCGAGGAAGAGGAAACAUUUUCUUAUUUAUGAAAUAAUGUAAUUAUUGCUCACCCGAAAAUGCAGAAUUUCAUUUCAACAGAUACAACUUUCAGUUCAAUGAUGUCACUUAUGUGUAUUACUCGGUUCUGAUUUUUGUCCUAAAAUGACCAAAUUUUCAGUUGUAUUAUAUUUCCUUAAAUUUUCUGUAAUAUAGAUCUAAUUUCAGAAAUCAAUUGAUGAGU